GUUAAAUGCCUUUCUCAAGGUCACGACGGUGCAAAAACCACCGGGGAAAGAGGAUCUCAGGUCUCCGACCUUUCUGCACUGGAAAGGCAGCACGGCGCAACGUGCUCCGCUCUGCUCGAAAUCCCAACGCCACAAGGUUUUCGGGUUAAGGAUGGACACCCCGAAUGCUCUCCACCGAGCUCCACCGGACUUGGGUACCCCGUGGCGUUCCCGUCCGCACUCCCGCCGUCCCAGUCCGAGCGCCACUGCUCUGAGAGGGGCCAGUGAGGGUCACUUACCGUCGCUCUCCGCCCUGACGAGCAGGGACAUGCCCUUCAGCCUCUCCACGUAGCCGGAGGACACAUGGCCAGUACCCCGGUCGUCCCACUGCCGGUCCUCGUUGAGCGUGUAGACCUUCACCCGCCGUCGGGUGUCGGUCAUCGUGCCGGCCGGGGGCCCCGCCCGAGUGGCCCAGGGACAGUGUCCAGAAAAGGCGGGCGGCCGCAAACGGGGAACUCCGGGACCUCAGUGCCACCGCUGGCCGCCGCGGAGCUGCGCCGCCGCUCGCAUGGCCCGCUCCCGGGUCCGAGCCCCGGGCCGCCGCCUUCUCUCGUCUCCUUCUCCCCGGCGCUAUUGUCCAGGCCGAGCGAGCGCGGCCGCCCAGCAGCCCCGACAGGGAACGCGCAGCACUACGCAGCCUACCGGCCCGCCGUUCCAACGAGGUGCGGCUCGGUUCACAGACCCGCUCCGGCCUCCACCAUGACCUCCGCAGAGCCGCUUUCCCGCGCCGCCGCCUCCUCAGGCCGCCGCCGCCAUGUUUUCCUCCCUUGUACCUGGCCCAGCCGCUGCAGCAGGAAGCCCCGCUCCGCUCCUCCCGCUUAAAGCAUCCGAAGCCGGUGAGGUAGCACUUCCCGGGAGACUCCGAACGCCUCUGGCCACCCGAGAACCCCUGGCUCUUCUUAGAAGCCGCCUUCCCUACUCCGCCGCCUCUUCCGUCUUCCUCACAGAGCCAAAGCCGCCGCCAUCUUGGCUCGCCCCUCAAAAGCGGCGCGCGGGGCCACCUAGGCAGUAGCGGCAGGGGCGGCCCGCAAGCCCCACCACUUAAAGCGACAAGACGGGAGCCGGCAGCUUCGCUCCGGCCGAGGCCUUGCACCGAGGCGGGCGCGGAGCUGCGGGGGUGGCGGGAGCGGAGGAGGCGGGACGCGAGUCGCGCCGGUGACGGACCGGGACUCCCUCGCGCUGCCCUGCGCGUACUGUCGUGCAAGCGCGGGCUGCGUGUGCGUCCGUCGCACUUUGAAUUCGUCAUCACCUCGGCUCCGGGCGGGGAAGGGGUGUGGAGUCUGUUGGCGGCUUCUGGAGCCAGACUGGACUCUGAUCCCGGAGCUCGUCCUUUCCCGUGCGAGCCUUCUCCGGACGCUUUAGGGAGGACCUUUGCAGUCGGCCCUGGGGGCGCGGGCUGCUGGCGUCCUCCUCGUCCUCCCCCCGCCCUCCUCCUCCUCCUCCUCUUCUUCCCUUGGCCUGAAAUAGAGAAGUUUCUGAGAGAGGACCGUUUGGACCGCGAGGUUGGCGGGAUGCAGUGAGGCACGCAAUGGCCGGGCAAGUCUAAAACCCUCGACGCGGUGUUCACGCGUGGCACUGCUCCCCGGGAUCAUUCUGAGCACUCACCUCACAAUAAUCAGCGGUUAUCUCCCUUUCUCUGUCGGUUAUCAAAGCUGAUCGUCUGUAGCCCUAGGCUGGUUUGUUUGUUUUUUUAAACAAAAUAACAAAACACAUCUUGAAGGGCUUGCAAAGAUAAAUGCCGUACUGUAUGAAUAAGAUGAAAUUCUUUGUUUUUUUGUUUUUUUUGAAACACAGCCUCACAAUGUUGCUCUGACUGGCUGAAGCAACGUAUGCGAGAAGCUGGGAUCUUUCUUAACCCACACCAGAGACAAGUGCUCGCAAAGACAUACCUGAAAUCAUUCACCAACAAAACUCGGAAGCAUGUAAAAACAAAGCAGUUGCUGUUUCUAAAUACCAGAAUGCAAUCCUUUCAAGCAUCUAGAUGGAGCCCAUGAGCUCCAAGCAGAGCAGGUUAGCAGUAUGGCCCUCUAUGCUGAUUAUUUUAUAGCAAUGCUUCUAACCUUCCUAAAAUGCUCUGACUCUUUUAUAACACAGUUUCUCUUGUUGUGGUGACCCCUCCCUCACUAUAAAAUCAUUUUGUUGCUACUUCGUAACUGUAAUAUGCAGGAUAUCUGCUGUGUCCCGUGUUUGACCGCCAAGGGAUCGAGACCCACAUGUUGAGAACCACCUUUUUAAAGGCCCUUGGAGACUGACUAGCAGAGCUUACACAGUGAAUAGUUUCUUAUCUGCCUUGACUCUUUACCCAUCAAAGAAGAAACUGUUGCUUUCAUCCCUCUGAAACUGUUUUGCUGGAGUACAGAACCCAAUAGAACACACCUAGCCAGUCUCAGUAUUUUGUCUCCUGGCUUAUUCUGAUGAUGGAAAUCAUUUACAAACUAUUUUGUGUCUUCCAGAGCUUUCCUAAAUUGCUAUGAUCCGGGUCUUCCUCUCCUCUAUAAAGUGUCCUUUAGAGACUUUG
rnacentral:lncRNA from 1 species